GAUGAACGCUGGCGGCGUGCCUAAUACAUGCAAGUCGAGCGAACGGACGAGAAGCUUGCUCCUCUGAUGUUAGCGGCGGACGGGUGAGUAACACGUGGAUAACCUACCUAUAAUACUGGGAUAACUUCGGGAAACCGGAGCUAAUUCCGGCUAAUAUUUUGACCCGCAUGGUUCAAAAGUGAAAGACGGUCUUUCUGUCACUUAUAGAUGGAUCCGCGCUGCAUUAGCUAGUCGGUAAGGUAACGGCUUACCAAGGCAACGAUGCGUAGGGGACCUGUGGGGGGAGGAAGGCCCCCUGGAAUGGAGCCGCGGCACAGACUACUAUGGGACGCAGGGGAGGAGAAUCUACCGCAGAGGGAGAGAGGCUGACGGGACCACGCCGCGUGGGUGAUAGGAGGCCUCGGAUAGUAAAACUCUGUUACUAGGGUGGAACGUUUGUGUGAGUAACGGUUCACCUCUUGCAGGUACCUAAUCAGAAAGCCCCGGCUAACUACGUG
rnacentral:rRNA from 1 species